UUAACUCAUAUUUGUAUGGAAUGGGAUCAUUUGCCUAUGUUUUCCGCUAAGGGCGCUGUUCCAACUGCAUACAAAUAUUGGGCUA
rnacentral:pre_miRNA from 1 species